AUACGUAGGGGGCAAGCGUUAUCCGGAAUUACUGGGCGUAAAGGGUGCGUAGGUGGCCUGAUAAGUCAGGGGUCAAAGGCAACGGCUCAACCGUUGUAAGCCCUUGAAACUAUCGGGCUUGAGUUCAGGAGAGGAAAGCGGAAUUCCAAGUGUAGCGGUGAAAUGCGUAGAUAUUUGGAGGAACACCAGUGGCGAAGGCGGCUCUCUGGUCUGUAACUGACGCUGAGGCUCGAAAGCGUGGGGAGCAAACAGGAUUAGAUACCCUGGUAGUCCACGCCGUAAACGAUGAGUGCUAAGUGUUGGAGGGUUUCCGCCCUUCAGUGCUGCAGCUAACGCAUUAAGCACUCCGCCUGGGGAGUACGACCGCAAGGUUGAA
rnacentral:rRNA from 1 species